CAACCAAGUUAAGCAGAAGGGCAUUCAAACCCAGAGGAGGAACUGACACCACGGGACUACUCCUAAGUCUGUGCAGGACAGGCAGAAGAACUCUACUCUUCUAGAAGCAAAGGAUGCUUGUUUGUCUUAUGUUACACAGAAAUCUGCUCCACUCCUUUUACACCCACCCUUGCAGGAUUCCAUCCCUUGCUGAUCACAUGCAAUAGAGGAUGCUGCUUGAGUCCACAUGCAUCAAGC